rnacentral:tRNA from 1 species
AAAGGGAGACCUAAUUCAGGUAGGAGACGAAAAAAAAGUAGUCGCUACCAAGAAUCAAUCCCAAAAGGUCGGAGCGAGGCGAAAUUGGCUUUCAAACUAGGUUCUGGGUUCAAACAAGACCUGAAUCAGGAACAAGGGCUAUUAGCUCUGGUGGUUAGAGCGCACCCCUGAUAAGGGUGAGGUCCCUGGUUCGAGUCCAGGAUGGCCCACCUGCACAGGUGGCAAAAACAAGAGAAGCGAGGAAUCAGCACCUUAUCUUACUGACAUAGUAAGAGAGAAUGCUGGCUCUGAGUAAAGAGUCCAGAGGAACCUUGAAAACUGCAUAGAGCUAGGUGAAAAAGCCAAAAAAGAAGACCGCAAG